rnacentral:lncRNA from 1 species
CUCUUACUGUUCAAGACCCUGAGCAAGCCUUGAAGCAGCAGCUCUUCACCGGGAUUCCCACUGCCCUGAGUUACAUGUUCUCAGCCCCUCACAGCCCUUCUCCGCAACUUCAUGGGCUGUGCUGCUGUUGCUGGGAGGAGAGAUGCUGUUCCAGGCUAUCCUUCUGUGUGAGGAUAGUCUUGUCAUCUCUAAUGGUUACUUAUUUGUGGAAGCUCCAUACUCAGCUAAGUAACAGGCCCAGGGGCUGGGUUCAGCUGCCCACUGAAUCAACAUCCUGAUACUUCUUGGUUGUCCAAGUGGACCUCACCAGCCUGUUCCUCUCCAAUUCCUUGUUUAACAGACUGCCUUCCCCCAGUGCUUCUCCCCAUCCCUUCAGCUUUUACUUUUGAUCCAUGGAAGCUCAGCAUGAGACUAGACAAAAUUGGUAAAGCCCAGACAGAUGGAGAAGGGAGCAGAGUCUCACACUGGCUUCCAUUCUCUUAACCAAUAGGGUUCUGUUCCCCUCAGGAUGACAUCCUUCUGUCCCCUCUUCCCCAAUUCAUACUACCUAAGAAUUCAGCACUGGGCAGGAGUCUAAGGACUCUCAGCUUACUGAUUCAAUCUAGCCAGCAGACUACUGGGCAGGAAGGUUCUGCCUUUCUGCCUUCUGAUCUGGGCUCCAGCUCCAUGGCCCAGCUUCUCAAUCAAGAAAUAUCUGGUGGACAGACUAGACCAAAGCCUGACCUACUUUUACCCAAUAGGUCUUAGGAAAAAUGCUACAGAGUAGGCCCAAACUUCCCAACCUUUCAUCUACCCCCAGGCCUUUUCUUACUGAAAUCCCAUUAUCUGCCACUGGAGGAACUGAAGCUGGUGGCUCUUAAGUUCUUUGGGUGGCCUGUCACUUCGUUAUCCUUGCCCUCCUUGGCCAAUCGGUGCCCCACAUUAUCCUCCUCACCCACGGCUCCCCUGACUGGCCCCGGCUUGCCCAGGAGCCUCCAAUUUACCAACGGAGGCUGGAGCUGCCUGAGGCCCCCACCCAGAUUCCCCUUCUCACCAAUGCCAGCUCCAGGGUGCAC